UUUUUUUUUAUAAAGUUUUUCAUGGUCUCAGAGCAAUUUCUGGGUGAAUUUUAAUUUUUUUUCUUUUGUUUCAAAGCUGUUUCUUCUACUUACUACCUUACUUGAGCUGUUUCUUUUGUCUAUUAUCUUUUUCUUCGGUCUACUACCUUACACGUGAGCGGUUUCUUUUGUCUUCGGCCUUACUUGAGUUAAAAUCUUCUAUUUCUUAUACCUUUUUUUAUUGAUUUUCUUUUACAUGUGAGCGGUUUCUUUUGUC
rnacentral:lncRNA from 1 species